rnacentral:rRNA from 1 species
GACGAACGCUGGCGGCGUGCCUAAUACAUGCAAGUAGAACGCUGAAGCGAGGAGCUUGCUCUUCUUGGAUGAGUUGCGAACGGGUGAGUAACGCGUAGGUAACCUGCCUUGUAGCGGGGGAUAACUAUUGGAAACGAUAGCUAAUACCGCAUAACAAUGGAUGACACAUGUCAUUUAUUUGAAAGGGGCAAUUGCUCCACUACAAGAUGGACCUGCGUUGUAUUAGCUAGUAGGUGAGGUAAUGGCUCACCUAGGCGACGAUACAUAGCCGACCUGGGAGGGUGAUCGGCCACACUGGGACUGAGACACGGCCCAGACUCCUACGGGAGGCAGCAGUAGGGAAUCUUCGGCAAUGGGGGCAACCCUGACCGAGCAACGCCGCGGGAGGGAAGAAGGGUUUCGGAUCGUAAAGCUCUGUUGUAAGUCAAGAAAGGGUGUGAGAGUGGAAAGUUCACACUGUGACGGUAGCUUACCAGAAAGGGACGGCUAACUACGUG